AGUGAACGCUGGCGGCAGGCCUAACACAUGCAAGUCGAGCGGCAGCGGGUCCCCGCGAGGGGAUGCCGGCGAGCGGCGGACGGGUGAGGAACACAUCGGAAUCUGCCUGGUUGUGGGGGAUAACGUAGGGAAACUUACGCUAAUACCGCAUGCGACCCUGAGUCGACGGACUGGGGGUGAAAGUGAGGGACCUUCGGGCCUCACGCGACCAGAUGAGCCGAUGUCGGAUAGCUAGUUGGCGGGGUAACGGCCCGCCAAGGCGACGAUCCGUAGCUGGUCUGAGAGGAUGAUCAGCCACACUGGGACUGAGACACGGCCCAGACUCCUACGGGAGGCAGCAGUGGGGAAUCUUGGACAAUGGGCGCAAGCCUGAUCCAGCCAUGCCGCGU
rnacentral:rRNA from 1 species